AGGACGAACGCUGGCGGCGUGCUUAACACAUGCAAGUCACGGGGGCCCGCAAGGGCAACCGGCGAACUGGUGCGUAACACGUGAACAACCUGCCCUCGUGUGGGGGAUAGCCAUGCUAACGCGUGGGUAAUACCGCAUACGUUCCUCUGGAGGAGUCUCUGGGGGAGGAAAGCUCCGGCGCACGGGGAGGGUUCGCGGCCUAUCAGCUAGUUGGCGGGGUAAUGGCCCACCAAGGCGACGACGGGUAGCUGGU
rnacentral:rRNA from 1 species